GUAAUAUGGCUGUCACUUAUCCCAUUUCUAACCUGUAACUGUCAGUUUGGAUUUGUGACAUUUGGUUUCUUGCAACAAGACUUUCUGACAUGCAUUGUGCGUUACCAAAAGUGGAUCUCUUUCUUUAUUUCUCAUUUCAUGUUUAACAUUUCAAUUUCUAGCAGCAAGACAUUUUGCGAUGCGUUGUGUGUACUUUGGAAACAUAAAAGACUGAAUCUGGUAUUGUAAUAUAAUAAAUUGUGCGUUAUUCAUAUGACAUUAAUUUUAUUUGUAAAUAACACAUACAAACCUUAUUUUACUUGCAAAUUAAUGUGGAGCUUAAAAUAAAAAUACAUUUGUCUUUUAUUAUAGUAAGUGUAGAGUCUACAAUAUACCUAAUGUGUCUGAAGCCAGAUAUAGGAAAGAGACCAGCUUCAGUUCUUUAAGUUUCCAAAAGUAUACAGAACGCAUGGCAGGAUGUCUCACUGCAAGAAAUUUAAAUGUUAAAGAUGAAGCGAGAAAUGAAAAAAGAAAUCCACUAUUUGUAACGCACAAUUAAUCGUAUUGCAAUAUCAGUUUCAGUCCUUAGAAUUUUCAAAAGUACACAAUGCAUGGCAGAAAGUUUUCUUGCAAGAAAUUUAAAUAAUGAGAAAAUGAACAGAGAUCCACUAUUUGUAACACAUAAUUUAUUGUAUUACAAUAAUAUAUAAAAAGAGAGGUCAGACUUAGUCCUUUAAUUUCUCAAAAGUACCCACGACACAUGACAGAAAAUCUUGUUGCAUUUAAAUGUUACUGAUAAAGUGAUUACAUUUUUUCUUUAAUAAAUUUCUUAUGAUGAGACUUACUGCAAUGCGUUCCGCAUACUUUUGAAACCUUAAAGGAUUCAAACUGAACUCCCAUUUCCUAUUAUUGGAAGUCAUUCACUAUACAAAUUAUCUUUGUAAAAAGAAGUGAGAUCCCCAUAAAAAAACUUCAAAAAAGUAAAAAAAUUACGCCAAGUACAUGAAAAAGUGGAGGACUUCAAGAGUAAUCAUAGAAAAAUAGAACAUCCCCCUAAAAAAAUUCAAGAAAGUAGAAAAAGAAGUGAAAUCGAAAUGAGCUGCCAGUACAUGAAAGUGCUUUCCAACUAUGCGCAGCUAAAAUGCUGUGUUCAACAGUGCAGACGUUCAGACCCUAAUGACAACUCAUGUGAACUGACUGCUCCGCACUUUGGCAGUGAAAUGAAGAAGUUAAAUAGCGUACCACCACAAACUGAGACUGUUUAGACAUUUGCCUAGAUGUCCGUUGCCUGGAAGUCAAAUGCUUGGCAUGGGCAGGCAUGGUCAAAGUUUUGAUGAAUAAAAAUUAUUUUAAAAUGUAAAAUAAUGAAGAAGUACUCAUAUUGUCAGCGUUUUAAACUGACAAAUUAUCUGAAAGCUUGCAAGAGUAAAGGUAUUGGCAUCGAUGAAUGAUCUUAGAAAUAUUUUAAAACCCGAUACAAUGAAAGUGUACUCAUAAUAUUGUCAGAGUUUUAAAUUGACAAAUUACCUGAAAGUCUAUGAGAGAGAAAGUAUGGGUAUUGAUGACAUAAGUAUGCCUUGCCUGGCCACGCCAAGCAUUUGACUUCCAGGCCACGGACAUCUAAGCAAAUGUCUAAACAGUCUCAGUUUGUGGAUGAUACUCUAUUUAGCUUCUUCAUUUAACUGCCAAAGUGCGGAGCAGUCAGUUCACAUGAGUUGUCAUUAGGGUCUGAACGUCUGCACUGUUGAACACAGCAUUUUAGCUGCGCAUAGUUGGAAAGCACUUUCAUGUACUGGCAGCUCAUUUCGAUUUCACUUCUUUUUCUACUUUCUUGAAUUUUUUUAGGGGGAUGUUCUAUUUUUCUAUGAUUAUUCUUUUUUAUAUAUAACAGGUGUAAACGAAGCUGUUAAAAUAGAAGAGGUGAAGUAUGGCAAAUAUGCCGACGAUAUAGCGAUUAUUACACAGGGGAAAAACAAUGAACAAACCACGAUAAGAAUAGAAGAGGGUAUAUCGCAGUUAGGUGACUUCCUGAAAGAUAGAAAACUCGAGUUAUCCAUCGAUAAGACAAAAACACUAUUCUUUGGACAACAAACACCACAGUCAAAUAUUAUGGAACUUAUGAUGAAAACAAGGAAAAGAUUAAGUAUUGUAAAUUACCUAUGUCACAGGGAAAGAGGAAUAAAACAGAACCAGGCUUUGAUGAUGGCCAGAGCAUUGAUCACCUCGGUUAUGGAAUAUGGAGCAGCGAUUUACAUGAACUGAAGAAAACAAAUAUAUUUGCAAGAAGAACUCAGGAAAUUGGAAUCGAAAGCGAUUAGAACGGCGAUGGGUUAUAGGAUGUCCACACCGUUGAACGUAAUGUACCCAGAGGCAGGAUGGAUAGGGCAUAAAGACAGAGCACUCUUUCUGGCAUGUAAAUAUUGGAUCGGGCAAUUAGAGAAAGGUACGAAUCAAAAUCCGACUUUAAAACUAUUCGAAGACAUAUAUGUAUAACAGAACAAAAUUCACACAGGAACCGGGAUAAGAAAGGGCAACGUGAACAUUACAAACAACCUUUCGAAGGAAGCUUUCAAAACACAAAUAUAAAAAUGUAGAUAUACAAAUAUAAAAAUAUGAUAUUCGAAAGAGACCUGACAAGUGAAAGGAUCGGCUAUUGGAAGUGGUUCUUCAACAUAGAACAACAACAUAUUGGAAAUAAAGGAUUAAUCCUGGAUACAACGACAGAUGGGAGUAAAAUACCGAAACAUAUUUCAAACGGUAUAGGAAUAAUAACGAUGCACAAUAAUUCGGUAGAGAUCGAAGGAAAAGCGAUAAAUAAUAAGUUCACGAUAUUCACGACCUAGCUGAUAGGUAUAAACAUAGUACUGAGAAAAUUCUUGAACAACGGACAGAGUUCAAACUGUCUCGUCUUAACGGAUUCAAUGUCGGUGAUAGAAGCACUAAGGAAUAUAGAAACCAAUUAAAACGAGUCAAGAGAUAAUCCAUGGAUCAUCGAAACCUGGAAGUUAGGGAAAGAAGAAAGACCAGGUAAAAUGGUAAUAGGAUGGAUUCCAAGACACAUAGGUAUAAACGGCAACGAAUUAGCUGACCAGGAAGCCAAAAGACAAACGGUAAAAAUCUCAGAUGGAAGCUACAAAGUGCCAGCGAAGGAAGUUGUUACAGAACUCAGGCAGAGUUUUUGGAAUAAAUUCAAAGAAAAAAUGGUCGACAUAGGAAGGGAGAAGGGAAUUCUCUUCAUGAAUGAAAUCGGACUAGAACACGGAAGAACAAAAUACAGGCCCUGGUUCCAGAAAUUGAAAAAUGAUCUGAGCAGAGAAACGAUAAGAACCAUCUCUAGAAUUAGAUGCAACCACUAUAACCUGAAGGCGUCCUUAGCAAGGAAGUACAUAAUUGACAACCCUAUGUGCGACUGCGGACAGGAGGAAGAAGACAUAGAUCACGUCAUGUUCGAGUGCGGACUGUAUAAUCUAGAAAGAGAACUGUUAUGGGAGAAACUAGAAUCAGACAUAGACGAAGUAGGAAGAACGACGCUAGGGUUAAUCAGACUUAACAAACGUAGAAUUCUCAAAACGAUAGACAAAUGUUUCUUAUGUCCCUUAAAACGAUAGGGAAGAAACUAUGACUUUAAGGACUGAGAAACGUUAGGGAUAAAAAGACUGAUUAAAACCAUAUGGUAGGUGCAAUGAUAAGUAACGUACAAAUAGUGAUAUUAACGAAUAACAAAAUAGAGUAAAAUAUACGAGACGUACCGACGAGAUAGUAAGGGAAAAAAUUAGAAGUAGAGAUACGAAAGAAAGGUAACACAAAACAUGCCCGAAAUGAACAUAGAACAGAAAACCUAGUGACUUGUUAUAUUAUAAAUAGGUUAAAAAAAAAUAAAAGUAAAAUUAUAUAUAUUUUUAUGUAUUAUUCAUAUAUUUAAAGUAUAUUCUUUACAUUAUCCUUUUGUUGUUAAUAGUACAAAGAAAACCAAAAAGUAUUACAAGAUGUAAGACUUAGAACAUAAGUAUAGACAUAAGAUGUUACAAAGAGAAAAAUGAUAUAUAUUUUUUGAUAAUAUAAAAGAAAAAAAAACUAUAUACAAUGUUUUUAUAUACGAGUAUAAACAGAAUACAGUACAUAAUAGUCUGAGAUCUUACGCAAGUUCGACUUACAAUAUUUAAUUGUAACAACCCCAAACUUGUUCCCACUUAGAGUAAGAAGUGUAAAAUGUAAAAAGAAAUAAGAAAAAUACCUGUGAUCCCAUUAAUUUAUAGGCAAAAGUGCGUAGACAAUGAUAAGAUAAUCUUAACACAAAUGUAUUAAUAGUUAAUGUAAUAUGUAGCUGCGAGGUAAAGUAAAGAAUAUCAAUGUUAUGAGACCGGGAGAAUGAACGAUCUGUAAGAAAAGAAAGAAUGAGUAUAAAUAUCGAGCGAAGCAUGAAUGCAGUUUAAAGUCAAAUAUUCAGAGUUUGCUGAGGAAUGAGAGUAGAAUCUAAAAGAACAUUGUUACUGGAAUGGGAGAGCGAAAGAAAAAUAUUAAUGAAUAAUAUUGUUAAUUUAAAAAAAAAAAAAAACCAUUUAGUGAGUCAGGUAUAAUAAAUAAUUGCACGCAAGGGAAUGAGUGGAUUUAAAAGACUGUUAGAAUGGAAGGAUGAGAGUAGAUAAAAUCGGAAGAAAAGUAAAAUGUCAAGCGCAAAGGAGUGCGCUUGUGAGUGAGAAAAGCUAGAUUUGGACAACGCGCGCGGAAUGGUAGACAGAAGUGCGAAUGGCAUGGAAGGAUGCGAGUUGACCAAUUAAUAGGCGAUAA